rnacentral:lncRNA from 1 species
UGCCCCUGGGUCUCGCUAUUGCGGUAAGCAUCUUAGUUUCUGCCCAGCUGUUCUUUAACUUGUAUUUUUCUGCAUAGAUGAAUAGAGAUGUUGAUCAUUAUACAUCUAAUAAUCUGGCCCCAAAAAUUCAUCAGGUUUGCAUUUCGAUAUUCAAGAUUCUCUUGCACGUAACAAGGCCAAACACAGUUGUGUUGGGGAACAUUCCAGGGACUGGAAUAUACCAAAGCCUUAGCCGAUACACAGAAACUUUAAGAGUUCCUUCAUUUCUCAUACUGGCUAUUGAAUCUCCCAUCUACUUUGCAAAUUCCACUUACUUACAAGAGAGGUCAGUUCAUGCCUGUUACAUAAAAAAGCGUUGGUGGGUGAUGGUGGUCAUCUGAUUAAAAGGGUUCUCAUUUAUUGCAGGAUAUUAAGAUGGAUUAGAGAGGAGGAAGAAUGGAUAAGCGCCGCUAAUGGAAGCUUAUUGAAAUGUGUAAUUCUUGACAUGACUGGUAUGUCAUCGAUUGAAGUAACAAAGAUCCUUUAAUUCCAAACGAAAUGAAGCCUGUCAAUCUCAAAUCUUUUUGUUCUUGUUCUCAGCUGUGACAGCCAUAGACACAAGCGGCAUUGAAACAGUGGGAGAGCUCCGGAAGAUGAUGGCCAAAAGAUCAAUUGAGGUGAGAAUUACUGAGAGUAUAACUCUAAAAACAUUCUUAGCUAUGAGCUUUUCCAGUUCAAGCAACCAAGUUUUAGUAACUAAGGAUGUCUGUGUGCUACAUGUAGCUCGUUCUAGCAAACCCCGUUGCAAGUGUGAUGGAAAAGCUGCACCAAUCGAAAACUCUGGAGUCCUUCGGCCUAAGCAGCCUCUACCUCACGGUAGCUGAAGCCGUGGAGGAUAUAUCUUCGACGUGGAAGGCUCAGCCAUGAGUGUAAUACUUGCAGGCCUCGGUAACCUGAUAGGGAGAGUGUUCUGUUAAGGUUUUGUUUCUUUUAGAGGGAUCUUUUUCUUGUAAGAUAUGUAUGAGGAAACCUGAAAGAUUUUGCUUUUAGUUCAAAUGUAAAAUCAAAGUUUUCUUAACCCAUGCCAGCUGCCUCAUUCUGUAGUUGCAGUUACAUGUUACAAGGCUAAAUCAUUAUGUACUUAAUAAAUCAACUUCUAACAUCAUCACAGCAUAAAUUCCUUUCCUAUUUAGGCUCAUCAAGUCAUGACCCAAAAUCAAAGAACCAAAUACAUGUAUCAAUUUAUCUCUAAUUUUCCUCAUCUCCCCCUCACACCCAUAAGAAACUCUUCUAUUUCUCUCUUUCCAAACAACACCCACCCCCCCUCCUUAUGUAAAUUAAGUAGGAUUAGUGUAAUGGGUAAUACAAGUAAUGUAUAGUUUUUAGAUUUUCUUUUUUCUUGGGUCAAAAUAUUGAAAUUAGAUCAAUUAGAAAAGAUUUUGAGCUGCCCAUUUUAGCCAGAGCAUUAGAUAAGAGUAGUAAAUCACAUUACAUAUAAAUUAGGAAACUACCAAAAAUAGGCUGUACUAAUCCACCUUAUAGAGAAAUUAGGAAAGCAUUUAUUUGUGAACUAAAUAUGAUGGGGAUUGAGAAUUAAUUUGUUUACUACUGCUGGUAAUGGGUGACCGCCUUGAUUUUUGUUGAGGUUAAUUUUUCUUGUGAGUUAGUAAAAUAUUUAAAAAAAUGAUUUUUAGUAAAAUGCAAUUAAGAUGAAAAAUAAUGUAAUGUUUGAUAAAAUUUGUUGUAAAAAUUGAUAUUGUAUUUAAUUACUUAUGUCAUAAAAUUAGUAAUAAAUAUUGAAAUAAUAAUAAUUUAAAUAAUAUUAUUUUAAAAAAAUUAUAAUAAUUUAAGUUAUUUAUGAUAUUUAUUUUGAUUUCACUUUUUAAUCAAUAUAAAUAUUAAUUUUAAAUUAUACAAAUAAAAAAUAUUGGUAAUUAUUUUUAUCUUAGAAUUAUUAAAUUUCAUGUAUAAUAUAUAUAUAUAUAUAUUUCUCAAUUAAAGUUAACCUCAUUUUUUGUAACGGCUACAUAAAUUUAGAAUGAAAUAUGUGUAUUAAAAAUGUCAAAUGCGGAAGCGUAAUAAAAAUUUUGAUUAACAUCUUUUACACAAAAACAGAAAACGUGCUCAAAAUAUAGAAGAACAAACUAACUGAAAGAGAUACUCGAAAAUAAGAAUUAUAAAUAUAACUACGGAGUCUUUAGGCGUCCCAUUCGCCGUAUUCCUACGGAACGGGAUCGGGAACAAUGUCUUUCUGAUUUGAAAUAGUUGAAUAAGGAAUGAGCUACACCAGCCUAGUAAAGACAUCACACUAUCUCACCGUCACGGAGGUAAAGGUGAGUAGAAAACACAAAAAAGACCAAUGGAGCAUAAUUUAUAACAAAUUCUUUUAUCAAUAAUAAAAUCCUUUACUGUCCACUUAUCUCGGUGAGAUCCAUAAAACAACAUAUGAAAACAAUAACAUUAUUAUCAUCAUGAAAUCAUAUGAACAGUAUAACAUAAUACUUACCAUGCCUUUGCAUUUCAAUCAUUAAACAACACAUUUUCCUAAUUUACCAGCCUAUUAGUAUCCACGAGGAUCCAUAGGGGUCCCGCUACCCGUGAACCCUUAACAUUUAUAACCUGAUUCCAGAGCCGUCCCCAUACCCCGUCCGGUAUGGGCACCAAAACCAUGAACCUCAAUACCCCGUCCGGUAUGAGGGUGAAAUGGGCCGUCCCCAUACCCCAUCCGGUAUGGGCGCCAAAACACAGAAGGUCUCCAUACCCCGUCCGGUAUGAGAGACCACGUUCCCGGUAGAGUUCCCUACGGACCAGGUCCGUUCAUCAUCUCCCAAGAUAUCUAGUCAGGCUGUCAACAUUAUCCAUUUAUCAAUUCACGUAACCUUUUAUUCUUUUUUUCCUCAGUCACCAUCAUCAAAUAACACACAAACAUGCAAACCAGUAGUUUAUGUCAAACAAGACAACACACAACAUCGGGUUCUCAGUCAUUCAACCCAUAAUCAAUAAAACAGUUAUAUAUGCACACGAAACUAUGAAAUGAAAACAUCAGACAUCAUACUGCAUUUAAAACUGUAAAAUAGAACAAACAACAACUGAUCGACAAAUACACUAGACUCGGGCUCCAUUAGCGACCUUAAACAAUUUCACACAUCUAUUGAUUCAUGAAAUACCGUUUUAUCAUUUAUUGAACUUUAAUACCGUGAUAGGAAAUAGGGUGAGGGGUCCUUACUUGUUUCGGGGUCUGAAUACGGCUCUACAGUGCGCCUACAGGCUGUCCCUAAUUUUCCUGAAUUUUUUUCGGAAAACUGAAACGCACUACCGGUACUUGCACGUGUCCCAAAAAAAUUCCAAAUCAGACCUAGGGCCCCUUUCGACCAAUAUCGCAAUUCCGGCACGGCGGCUUCGCCGUGCUCCGGCGACGGCGCCACCGCAAGCGGCGGCGAUUCGCAUUGGCUUGGUCGUUUUCGGCCGAAUUCGGCCACGCUUGCAUCGGUCCCUGCGAUAGAACAACCCUAGGGCCCUCGGUGGGCCUAAAAAUCACGAAAAACCGAAACUUACCGGCAGCGGUGCUCUCGAGUGCGGCAGCUCCUCCGGUGUGAGUCGCGUUUUGAUGUUUGGCUCCGAUCAAGCUGUAGAGAAAAGAACGGUGAUCACAGUGGUAUAAAAUUUGCAUUAAAUGGAGGCCGGGAAGGGCCUCAUCGGAGGCAAAAACGAGGGGGGGGGGGCGUGGCGGCGCCGCUGGGUUUCGACUAUGUUUUUCGGCUGUUUGGCUGGUGGUUUGGCUCCAGUUUGGCCAUAUACGGACUCAGUUUCGAAAAACGAUCAGGUAAGAAAAAAAUUCACCUCAAUCGGCGGUCGAAACUUCCCCGUGCGGCGGCGGGUGCGGCGGCCGGCUCUCCGGCGUCUGGUUCUUCUUCUCCGGCGAGCACUGGCGGCUAGGGUUUCUGUGGUCAGGUGUGGUGGGGUUAUUUAUACCCUUUGCCUUUUAAUCUCAACUGUCCAUCAAGAUUAAAUCUGGACCGUUCGAUCGCGAUUUAAUUGGGAUUAAAUCUGGGCCGUCCAUCGCGAUGCAAUCUGGACCGUCCGUGCCUGAUUGAAUCUGGGCUGUCCGUGCGCGUGAAUCUGGGCCGUCCGUGUGCGCGGGAACGGAUCUGGGCCGUCCGAUCGCGCGCACGCGGAUCGCCCACGUGGCCCGUCCCCUGGUCAGCAUUUCCUUACCACGCGGUGCGUCCUGGUUGGCCGGGGCUGCUGACUGGGCCGCUGACGUGGCUGCUGACGUGGUGCUGACGUGACACAACUUUUCUAAAUUGUAUUUUGACCCCCGGUUUCUGAUUUUCUUUUUAAAAACACCCAUAGAAUCUAAAUUUUCACUUUUUUUUUUUUCAAAAUCAAUUUCAAUUAAAUUCAAAUAAUAUUUUUACCCAAUUUUAUCAUUAUUAUUAUUUUUAUUUUCAUCAAAUUAAAUUAAAUUAAAUUAAAUAAAAAAUCAAAUAAAAUUUCAAUAAUUACAAAAUAAAAUAAAUUGAAAAAAAAAUAAUAAUAAUAAUACACUUGAGGUGUUACAUUUUUGUCAACAAGGUUAAAUGAUAUACCAAAAAACUCUAACCCAUAAAUAAGUAAUGAGAAAACUCCAAGUUCUCCAAAGUUUUGUCAGAAUUACCAUUUGGAAGACACCUUGAACAUACACAAAGCACAUAUCUCCAAAUUUUCUUCUUUUAUCUACUCUAUGGUUGAAUUCAAACUUAUGUUAUGCCCUUGCAUCCCAUUGUUAGGCUUCCAUAGUUGAUAAAAUUUAUUUACUGAUAUAGUCUUUGAGGAUAUGAGUUAACCUGCAAUUAUCUUAUUUCAGUUAUAGUUUUUUUUCUUGAAGAUUUGGAAGUUAGUAUAACUUUUAUGCGUGAAAGAUUCCUUGUAUGUGCAACUAUGGAGUUGAUACUUUCCAAGUCUUUUUUUAUAUCUGUAUUGAAGAUGAGUGAACACUGAUGUCAAAGAGUAAAAUGGAACUAGCUUCGUAAAACCGACAAGACGAGUCAUAAAGGAGGUAAAGGCCUCAAGACAAAGAGGAUUUCUGUAAAAGGUGAGAAUUUUUAAUGUUUACUUCUCUCAAGAAUCCCUAACAAAUAGAAAGUUAAAUUGCCCAUUUUAGAAGAUCACCUGGAUGGUACAUGCAUUAAGUUACAUGUAGACACCAAAUAGAGCACCCAUAUUGGAAGAAAGCCACUUUAUAGUAUCUAAUUUCUUUCCCACGGGUUGAUAUAUGCAGUGAAAGAAAAAAAAAACAUGUAAAGGACAGACGGACAGACAAAAAGAACAAAAAUGGGUAAAGUCACACCAAGCAUUCACCAGUCAAAGAUAAACAAUACCAAGUACUCAUAUAGCCAUACCUAUACUAAGGGAGUCAGAAUAUAAAAGGAUCAAGCGAAAAUUAGAGCCUCCACAGUCCACACGAUGAGGGGAAGAUUUGUCAUGGGAAGAACAGGAUUUCUUGAACUCAUGGUCAAAUUUAGAAAGGAGUAAAGAAUGAGAGGACAAGCCCUAGGAGAGAAGACCUAAAAUUGGGAAAAUUAAGUGAAUGAGAAGAUAGGGACCUAUUCCCCCUUUUAUAAGCCCGCUGCAUGAUAACCCAAAAACAUGACAAAUGCUGAAAAAUAUGGUACUUGAUAUAAAAUCAUCACCUGUGGUAAAAUAAAUUAGACAAACACUGUCUUAGUACUACAUCAGGAAUGAGUGCUUCUAUCAGAUUCAGGCCAGAUUGUGCACAGAACAUUAUGCAACACAAUCACACACACACACACUAAAAUUGUCCACUGAGGACUUGAGCCCAAAUUUCAGUCGUGUAUUUUUGAGCUUAUCAUAAAUUUCCACAAGUCCAAUUUCUAAGAAGUUUCAUAUUCCCAUAUUCUAGAAUUUAGAAACAAGCUACCCAAAAGGCUUAUGCAGCCUAACUUUCACAGCUUCAUGGAGAGAAGUAAACAAAACAAAAUCAGGAGCUUUUGAGCAUAUCAUCAGUAAAAAAGUACUGCGUGAGAGCAGGAAAUGACUUUAAUUUUAUUUGGUCAAGUACAGAAGACAACUAUAUUUAAAAAUAUGUCUGAACUUCAUAACAUCUAGAGAAGGAAAAAAAAAAAGUAAGGGAGUUUUCCUAAUGCAUUAUGUGUUUUUAUUAUCUAUAAGCUCAAACUUGAAACAAAUUCUGUGUUGAAUGCAUCUCAGAACAAAUACACAUCAAAUAUCAUCAAUCAGCUGUCCAAGGACAUGAAGAACUGAAGCAUCAGCAUACCCAAAAUAUAACCCCAUCACAUUACUUCUGCAAUUCUAUUAUAUUUUGGGUAUGCUGAUGCUUUAGUUCUUCAUAUAAGAGAGCAAAUGAUUAUACCAAUAGCAUGUAACUCAAUGGCAUGAAUCUCUUUUAGUGAAACUAUCGGCAGCAACACAUAAAAUUGGUUUAACACACCCAUCUUUCAAGCAUUCUUAAAUUAGUCUUCUAUUAUUCCACCAUAACACCAAUUCAUAUUUAAUUAUACCCGAGCAUGCAAAUAUUUGGUUGCUUUUGUCAACCAGCAACUACUAAACCUUGAAAGAAUCAUUACUUCUGAAAGAAAUCAAUCUUUCUAUACCUGUUAGACCAAGCUGAGUGCCGCCACCACUUCAACAACAGAGCAUUGUGCUAUACUUCAAACUUGAUUGAUUUAGUAGUUGAAAAACAAUCAUGUCCAAAAGAUUCAGCAGUGUAUGAAUCAAUUAGCUUUCUGACAUCAGGUGAAAAAAUUCUCACAAGACAGAGAACAAAAAACUGCCCGAUCGAUAUGCUUGCUAAAGAAUAAAAACCUAACCCACUAUGAAGUCACGUAAAAUAGAAAGAGAUAUCAAGGCUGAUAUGCAUCUUUUCCAAGAUGACCUGAAACUCUAGAAAAAGAAUUUGCCAGCAGGAAUACCUAUUUGUAUGGAAUCAAUCUUCCCAUCAUUUAAGUAUCAUUCACAAACCACGAAUCAUUCCCUAUAUUCACCACAAGCAUGGAAAUAGAAACCAUAGGUUACUGCAACUCUUUCUCAGUGCAGAUCAUUUCUAGUAUUUAUGAACUCGGACCAGAGCUCCUCCAAAGCAAUGAAGAUACUGGAUCUUGCCUGUUGAGGUUUUCCUAUCAAUCAAACAUCUGCAAGGAAAAUAAAUCCCAAAUUAACUCUGCAAAAAAUUGUAGAAAGAUUGGGUUAUGGGGUAACUGAAAGCAUGUGAAGGUGCCUAUUGCAGCUAAAUUCAAAAAUCAAAUUGCUACAGAAACCCCAUGGAAUUGUUUUACACAAUUCCCUUCAAAAAUAUUGUCAACUACGUAGCAACUAAAAAUUCCAUGAAAAUUAUUUAAAGAAAUGAUGCUUCAAAAGCAUCGCUUGUCUCCUUAAACGGCCAAUCAACAUUUGUAAUAUAAGGAAUCAUACAAAUCUGCUUGAUGUUUAGGUCUCAUUGGAUAGUUUGUUCAGCUCAAAAUGAUCUGGAAAACAAUAUCCUCCAAAAUUGAAAAAUAAAAAAAUAAAAUAGCAACUAACAAUAUAGCUUAGCUCAUAAUGACAAGAAAACUGGAAUCUAAAUCUGUUGAACAAUAUUAUGUAUAUCAUCAACUUUCUCUUCCCUAUUCUCAUUUGCAGUCAUGCCUCAUGCAACACUUGCAGAUGGUUCAAUCUCAUUACUAAAACUGUGUUGCUACACUAAUUAACUUCCAGAUCCAACUUACUUUCCUGUGAAUUCAAUCUUAAAUUAAAUCACGCAUAAAAAGAAAGAAUACUAUGUACAAUGUGAUGCUAGGAUAAAGAAGGAAAAUACUUCUGAUAUUUUCUUCUAUAUUUGUUCCUGGCUAUAUGCCUCCUAUUUAUAUUGGCUGCUUUCUCUGAAAAAAUUGAUCUAGAAAACACUUUGUUUAUGCAACCAAAGGGUUCAACUCGACUUCGAUACAGUCACAGCCUGGUUUACAAUCACAAGAUAGGGUUUUGAUUCUAUUUGCAAUAUAGGACUAGGGUUUCCAUAUGUCACGCAGCAAGGACGAAUAGAUAGAAGCUAAAAUUCCACAAGUGUGAUGAAAAGGGAAACUUCAGCAUAUGGCAAACUGGGAUACCAGCUCUAAUGGUACAGCAGAGGGACCAAACCCAAAAAAGAUGGAUAAGGAUGACUGAAAGGAGAACAACAGAUUUCUUUUAGCAUAAGUUGUAUAUGCUUGGGGCAUUCGAUUAACCAGACUGAGACCAAAUGGCAAGGGGUUUGUAGGCGAAACUUAAAAUCUGUUCAUGGCAAAGAACAUGACUAACAAAAUUUUUACAAAAGAGAGAUUUUGAUACAUCUGAUUGACCGCAUAACCUUGUUACAUAAGAAAGUUAACAAUUUGGUGACUUCAAGAUAAGGAAAUCAUAUUUUUUUGUAUCCUGCCGCCUUCUAUCAUCUCAUCACUAGAGUGAUUUAUGAGAAAGAAAUCUUAUCUAAUAAGGAGGUGGUUGCAGUCCCCUAAGCUCUCAAUGAAUGAAGAAAAAUUUUGAAGCAGAAAGUUCCCAAUCAAAAUGAUCAGUGACAAAUACAGAUUGUGGACAAGGUAGAUCUUGAGUUAAAGGUGCAGAAGGGGAAAGUCCAAAGAAGUUCCAAGUUGAAAGGUAAGAAGGGGCAUGCUUUAAGUGCCCUCAAAAGGGCUAACUAUAAGAAAGAUUGUUCUCUGUUGAAGAAAAUAAUGAACAGAAGGAGAACUACAAGUUCUACGAGUGUGUCCUCAGACAUGAGACGAAAAGACAAUGGUGGUUUCUGCAAGUAAUAGUGUUUAUCUUUCUCCCUGGACGUUAAGUUCAGCUUGUUUGUCUCACUAUAUAGUAAAAGAGAUUGAUCUAAUACUUACAAACAGUGUGAUACUUGCAGUAUUGAGCCAGGUGAUAACUGUUAACGCAAGGCGAUUGGUAUAAGGGGAAUCAAAAUUAAAAUGUUAGAUGAGGUGAUCAAAAUCUUGAAAAAUGUCAACAUUGGCCGGGAAUUGAGAAAAAUUUGAUUUCCCUGGGCUAUUUAGAAAAGACUGGGCUCUUUAGAAUGACUUUGUAUGGUUUUUUUUGUGUAGAUCCUGUAAAUGGAAUCCUAAAGAUUACCAAAGGUCUCGUGGUUGUAAUGAAAGGGGAAUCAAGUAGAAAAUAAUUUGUACAAGUUGGUUGGUACUACGGUUAUACUUGAUACUUCAAUUGUAUCAUUAGGAUCUGACACUGAUGACUACUCUCUGACAUAUGGAUCAUAUUGGCAAGCAAGACAUGGUGGAACUUCACAAAAGAAAGCUGCUGAAGGGGUUAAUUGUUUUUGUCCGUUUAAUUUGAGAACACUAGAUCCUUAGGAAACAAAAAGGGAUGAGCUUCGCAUCUUCUCCAGCCAAGAUAUCAGCAAAGGGUAUGGACAAGUAGAGAUUGGAUUAUUUUAUGCUUAGACUAAUGAGCGGUCUAAGUUGGAUUUCCAAGUCAACAAAAUGCAUCUUUGUCAGUUACCAUAAGGGACUUGAAGGUUGAAAGUCACAGAUUGUCGGAUCUGAAGGCAGAGAAAAUGACUGUCAGUAGAGAUGUAGUCUUUAAUAAGAGAACAAUGCUAAAGAAACAUCCAGCUUUAUUCUUUCUGAUGUACAAGGUUACAAGGGAGAGAGGGAGCUCAGGAACUUAGAAAAUCAAAAUCGAUCAACAAAUCAGUCAAAAAAUGAUGGCAGUAGUGAUACCCAAUUCUCGUAGUGAGCAACUAGAAGACCCAAUUUUACAACAUUUUCAUCAACAGACCUAAAAGCAUUUAUAAUGCUCCUAUGAUCUAUGGGUUUGAGAAUGUAACAUUUGAUGCACCAUUAACUAGUUGUGAAGAACCUUGUUCAUUUAAGGAAGCAAUUUCUGGUCUAGAGAAAGAUUAGUGGAAAGAAGUUAUGGUUCAUUAGGCGUCCAAUGACAUUUUCUUUCUUGGAACUUAAAAUACAUUUGUCAGGAACAAUAGUGUUGUACUCUUAUUUCCAAACUUAAAAUAUUUUUUUUUGAAAUAAAAUUUCCAAGCUUAAAAUAAUAUGUCCUAUAUAUAUAAGUUCUAGGGAUAAGAGAAGGAAAAGUACAAUUAAUUACAAAGAGUAUAUUUUACUUUAAUACCUUUUAACCUAUUUUAACCCUAUUUAUACAUAAAGUAGAUUCUUUAAUAUUCCCCCUCAAGUUGGGAUGGAUGUUAUUCAUCACCCACUUGUAAAUGAUAAUCUGGAAUGUUGGACUAUUAAAGCCUUUAGUCAACAUAACUGUAAGUUGUAACUUGGUUGGCAUAUGAGGUGUACAUAUCAAACUAUUAUCCUUAAUAAAAUGCCAAUCAACUUCAAUGUACUUUGUUCUAUUAUCUAUAGAGGAUUGUAAGAAUACUUAUCGCCGAUUGUUGUCACAGUAAAGGCGCACUGGGUUAUCCCACUUGACUCUUAAAUCUUCUAAGAAUCUUUCAACCAUAGUAACUCACAUACCAUUUAUACCAUUACUCAGAAUUUUGAUCUACAGUAACCUGAAGUAGAUCUUUCUAUCCAUCACUGAUCCUGCAUAGUAUCAGUGUAAACUUCAAGGAUCAACCUAUCAUUCCUUUUAAACAUCAAGGAUUUAAAUUUUGAGAAAAGAAGAAAUGUUAUCUCAAAGUGAGGUAACAUCCCUAAUCAGUGUCGAACAAUGCAGGAGGGGGAAUAUACUACAACUCCGCACGACUAACAACUCAAUAAUGGUAAUCAAAGGCUCCAAACCAUGUCAACAAGGAAAAGAGUCAAGUAACAAUUAGAACCUAGAAGGGAAUAAGGAUGAUUUGUGGUGUACCUUCGGACACAUUAAGGAAAAAUGCUAGAAAUUUCACAAAAAGCCCACUACAUCAGGUAAAGAAUGGGGGUACGAGAACUCCCCAUAGAAGCCUUACGGACAGGUCCAUGCGCUUAAUUAACAGGAAGAAGAGAAACACACUUAGCGAAUUCAAGGUCGAAAUUGAACGAUUUAUAGUAGACUUGAGGACGUAAAGAAGCCCACAGGUAAAAGCCUGUUAGCACAUUCAGGUAUGUGAGAAUCACAUAGUUUAAAUAUCUAAGAUACACCAUUUGAUAAAUCAUGGAUUAUAGACUCAAGUGACGAUAUGAUCAAUUCCUUAAAACACUUUUUGACAUAUUCACCAUGCUCAAGUAGUAGGAAAAUUGUUAACGUAGAUAAGUCUCUAAACACCAUUGCUGGAACGGGCACCAUCAAAAUUAGCCCUAAUCUAGUUCUUAAAAAUGUGCUACAUGUUCCUAAAUUUUGUAUUAAUCUUGUGUCAGUCAUUAAAUUAACUAAGAACCUGAACUGUAAAAUAAUCUUUUUUCCUUCUCAUUAUGAUUUUCAGGACCAAAACUCAAUGAAAGAUGAUUGGAUAUGCUGAAAUCAGGAACAGAUUAUACUAUUUGGAUGCACUUGAGUUCUCUCCAUACCACAACUAUAGACUCUACCACCGAGCUAUGGCUCUACCACAAACGACUUGGUCAUCAUUCCUUUUUCAUUUUGAAUAUCAUGUUUCUUUUUUUUUCUAUUAAAGACUUUAUUAAUAAAAAUUUAUAUUACAAUAUAUGCGAGUUUGUUAAACAUAAAUACAUAAUAUUUUCCAGUAACAACAAAAGAAGAAGGCUUCCUUUUUCAUUAAUCUAUAUUGAUAUUUGAGGACCUGCCCACACUCCUAAUAUAUCUGAAAUAUGAUGAUUUAUGUUGUUCAUUAAUGAUUGUACAAGAGUCACAUGGCUCUUCUUACUUAAAAUAAAAUCUGAUGUGGUCACAUAAUAUCUCAAUUUUGCAAAAUGAUCAAAAUCUAGUUUGAAACUCAUAUAAAAAAAUUCCACACUUAUAAUGCAAAGGACUUUUUUAAUCAUACUCUUAUCUUUCUUUUUAAAACAAGAAUCAAUUAUUCAUUAAUCAUCAUGUGUUCAUAUUCCAUAAUGGUGGCAGAAUGAAAGAAUAGUUGCAUUCUUGCUAUUACCCAAUCCUUCUUAUUGUAUAACCAUGUUCCUUACUGCUACAUGGUUAUCCUCUAGUGUCCUAGAUUUUAAAAACCCUUUGAAAACCCUCUUCAAAUUUUACCCAAAAAUCAGUAUCACAAACCAUCUACUUCCUUAGAUAUUUGAGUGUGUAACAUUUGUUCAUAUUCAUACCCACUAGAGAAGAAAACUUGAUCCCAAAACUUUAAAAUGUGUGCUGUAGGGUGCUCUUCUUCUCAAAAGUGAUACAAGUGCUAUCAUUUGCCUAGAAAUUUUUUUUAUAUGUUUGCAAUAUUACUUUAGAUGAAACAAAAUCCUAUUUUACCUAACCUUNNNNNNNNNNNNNNNNNNNNNNNNNNNNNNNNNNNNNNNNNNNNNNNNNNNNNNNNNNNNNNNNNNNNNNNNNNNNNNNNNNNNNNNNNNNNNNNNNNNNNNNNNNNNNNNNNNNNNNNNNNNNNNNNNNNNNNNNNNNNNNNNNNNNNNNNNNNNNNNNNNNNNNNNNNNNNNNNNNNNNNNNNNNNNNNNNNNNNNNNNNNNNNNNNNNNNNNNNNNNNNNNNNNNNNNNNNNNNNNNNNNNNNNNNNNNNNNNNNNNNNNNNNNNNNNNNNNNNNNNNNNNNNNNNNNNNNNNNNNNNNNNNNNNNNNNNNNNNNNNNNNNNNNNNNNNNNNNNNNNNNNNNNNNNNNNNNNNNNNNNNNNNNNNNNNNNNNNNNNNNNNNNNNNNNNNNNNNNNNNNNNNNNNNNNNNNNNNNNNNNNNNNNNNNNNNNNNNNNNNNNNNNNNNNNNNNNNNNNNNNNNNNNNNNNNNNNNNNNNNNNNNNNNNNNNNNNNNNNNNNNNNNNNNNNNNNNNNNNNNNNNNNNNNNNNNNNNNNNNNNNNNNNNNNNNNNNNNNNNNNNNNNNNNNNNNNNNNNNNNNNNNNNNNNNNNNNNNNNNNNNNNNNNNNNNNNNNNNNNNNNNNNNNNNNNNNNNNNNNNNNNNNNNNNNNNNNNNNNNNNNCAUUUUGACGAGUGUUCACAAUCCUUCAAGAAUUUUCUUAUUAGUCUUAAUAUUGUAUCUAUUUUCUAACAUGUAUCCAAGGCAUUAUCCUAUGAGAAACGGAAAAAUACCAUGAUCGCUGAAAUGCAAGUACUAGAAAAGAACUAGACAUGGGAGAUAGUAGACUUUACCAAAGGAAAAAAGUUCAUGGGGAUGUAAGUAUUCACCAUAAAAUCCAGGGUACAUAGAACAAUUGAAAGGUAAAAAGCAAGCUGAUUGGUCAAAUUUUAUACCCAAAUCUACGGGAUAGAUUAUCAAGAGACAUUCGCACUAGUUGCAAAAAUGAAUAUAGUGCAAGUUCUACAAUCUCUAGCUGCCCACUUCAAGUGACAAUUACAAUAAUUUGAUAUUUAAAAAUCAUUCCUACAUAGAGAAUUAAAGAAGAGAUCUACAUGGAAGUUCCUUUAUAUUUAAAAAAAAAACGAAAGAUCUAAAUGAAAAUUCCACUAAGAUUUGCUAAAGAAAUGAGUACAAACAAAGUGUAUAAAUUGAAGAAAGCACAUUAUGAACUCAAGCAGUCACCUAGAGUGUGGUUUGGUAGAUUUAGCAAAGUAAUGUUGGGCACGGAAAACAAACAAAAAUAGAGUCACCUUACUUAUCAAGCACUCAGAUUCGGGGAUAUUUACUGCUCUCUUAGUAUAUGUUGAUGAUAUUAUUGUGACAUGAGUAUUUCAAAAAAAUAUAUAUUAUUAUAAUAGGGACGAUGAAGAAGAAAAACUAAGACUCAAGCAUUGUCUGGCCAAGAAGUUUGAAAUCAAAGAAUUCAUAAAUCAGAAGUACUUCCUGGGAAUUGAAAUAGCUCAUUCAAAAUCACGAAUCUCCAUCUCAUAGCAGAAAUACAUAAAUGAUUUGUUGAAAGAAACAAGUAAACUACCAUGUAAACCAGCUAGUACACCUAUUGACCCUAAUCAUAAGUUGAGAUCUAUAAAAAUGAUACAAAAAUAGAUACGGGGAUGUAUCAGAGACUAGUUGGUAGGCUAUUUUCUUUGUGGGCAUGGGGUUUGAAGCCUUUAAUUACCAUUACUAAGUUGUUAAUAGUGCGGGGUUCUAGCAUAACUCAUCUCUUGCUUUCUUUGGAACUGACCAAGAAUAUUACCUCAUUCAGAUAUGGCAUCUCUUCUUUUUUUAGGAUCUAAAUUCUUACCUAAUUAUAUUCUUCAUUGAGUCUUGUCAUCCAUUGAUAUGCUCUGUCUUUCUCCACCAUCUUCAGGGUAGCAACAUCUUUGCUGCUUUCUAUAGUGAAGCAACAAUAUUGAUCAAGCUCCUGCCACAAGUUUUUCAAUAGGUUGACAUACUCUGUGACCAAUUUAUUUUCUUAUUUUGCUGACCAAGUUUUAAUUUUUUUAGAUCAUAUAUUAGCACUGCAUAUUUUACCUUGAAAUAGCUUUCUCUAAUUAAAUCUAAUACUUCUUUCGUGUUGGGUAAUAACAUAACAAUAUUGCUUAUCUCUAAUGUCAUUGAGUUUCACAACCAAACCAUUAUUACUGAAUCCUUUUCAUCCCAUGCAUCAAAUUUGAAUCUCUGAUUUUGGUCCAGUGCCCAGAAUGUAAUUGAUUUUCCUUUUCUUUUUACAAUGUUCUGAAUCAGUUGUGAGCAAUUCAAGUACUUCUUCCCAUUGAAAAUAUAAGCAGCAUUUAUUGACUGGAAUUCUCCAUUAAUUUGUGCAGAAUUUUUGCAUGAAAAUAUAUGCCAGUGAUUUGAGACAUAGCCUCCGAUUUAGGUUUUAGAGCAAUUAAAUAAAGCUAAAAAUAAGGGUUUUACCAGUUGAACAGUGAUUGUGUGACAAGGGCACCGCUGGAGGUAUAGAUAGCUAGGAGAUGGCAGCACCUAGACGCCGCUGUAGGUGGUUGGUCAUGCGACUGCUUGUGCGUAGCUGCUGGUGGCAGUGUCUCUGCUGGUGCAUAGCUAGUGGUGGUGGCGGCCGGACUUCAUUUGAUGGUUGAUUAACUAGUUUCGGCCUAUUAAGGCCCGUAGUGGCUGGUCUAGUAGCCGGCUAUGAAGAUUGACCCUUUUUAGAGUUUUCUUAUUUCAGUAGUAAAGGCCGAAAAAAAGUUUGUAACAGAGUUUAAUAUUUUUUAAACUAAAACUCUGAUACCAUAUUAGCAAAGAUUAUUUUGUGUUUUCAUUAAAUAAUACGUCUCUAUACAUACAAACUCUAGGAAUAAAAAAAAGGGAAUGUAGAAUUAAUUACAAAUGGUGUUUUUUACUUUAAUAUCCUUUCACCUAAUAUACCUCUAUUUAUACGUAAAGUAAAUUCUUUAACAAUAUUAUCUUUCUUGAAAAACUAGUAAUACAUCAACUUAUUUCUUUAGGAAUUUAUAAUUUUUUUGAAGUAUUUUAGGAAUUUACAAUUUAAGAACCAGUUUAAUGGUUACUUUCUUCGCCCAAAUAAAAAAUUCUUCUAGAUUACAAGAGGACCCACAAUCAGCAAGUAGAAAAUAGACAAUUAUCAGUGGAGAUAGUUUGUGUUGAACUCUAUACUUCCUUUGGAUUAGGCUUAGAUGUCUUUUACUCAACUUUUGAGUUAUUUAAAUAAAUUUAUCUGAACUCUUGACUAAUUAACAUAGCAAUUGUAGUUAUAUACUGAAAAACCAUGAAGAACUAAAUCAUGGUUAUCAGGUCCUAGAUUUUAGGAAAGAAGUUAACCGACUCUUCCAUUCAUUUGUAACUAGAUUUCAGAAACAAACAGAUUGGCAUAAUUUCUUUAAAAGUUCAUAGGAAAUCUAACUUAAAAUAUUGAAGAGUUCUCCACAAAAAGCCCUAAACCCUAAUUCAACAUAUAUCAUAUUUAAGAAACUCCGCAAAACAAGCUGCCCACUUG